rnacentral:tRNA from 1 species
GCGUCGGUAGGUAAGUGGUCAAAACACGCACGCUGUAAACGUGCUGCCUUAAUGGCUUCGGAGGUUCGAAUCCUCCCCGGCGCA